rnacentral:lncRNA from 1 species
GUUUACUUUUGAUGAAGAGAUGCGAGUUUCUCCUUAUUCUGUUGUGACAAUGCUGAAAAAUAAAAAUACUAUUUUCAUACAAAAAAAAAAAGAGUCAUUAAUUGUCAUCAAGCUUUACUCAUGGAAACAUUAUUAUGGAAAUUCACGUUAUUCACACUAAUGUGGUGUUCACUUCAAUGUGGUGCGGAAUUUUACAUUCAAUUGAACCAAAAAGAAAGGAAUAACCUUAUGGAUGUUGAAGCUAAUCCAUUGGGAUCACCCAGGCUUUACAACCCAAAAAUCAUUCCCGAUGGUACUUUACGUUUUUCAUUUCUUCUCCGUCUACCUUUAAAAAUCAAGACGAAGGAUCUAUUUUAAUUGAUCCUGUUUCUUUCAAUUAGAAAUCACAUGGACUCAUAUUAAUCAAGAUCUCAUACAUUCAAUGAUUCUUUUGUGGAUUGUAAACCCACGUUUAUUUAUGAAAUAUUACUUAACUACUUAGAAUAGGUAAAGUAUUAUAUUAUAACUGAAGUUCGGGAAUAUAGUUUCAAAUAUAUCCAUGAAUAAUAUGAUUAUUGAGUUUCAUUUUGCAAUAGUUAUACAUAAGUUACGUCAUGUGAAUAAAUAAUUUCAAUUCCUUAUUAAGGCACUGAAGAGUAA